rnacentral:rRNA from 1 species
CCUACGGGCGGCAGCAGUAGGGAAUUUUGCGCAAUGGGGGAAACCCUGACGCAGCAACGCCGCGUGAUCGAUGAAGCCCUUCGGGGUGUAAAGAUCUGUCAGUGGGGACGAAACCUGACGGUACCCACAGAGGAAGCACCGGCUAACUCCGUGCCAGCAGCCGCGGUAAUACGGGGGGUGCAAGCGUUGUCCGGAAUCAUUGGGCGUAAAGAGUUCGUAGGUGGCACGUUAAGUCUGGUGUUAAAGGCGGAAGCUCAACUUCCGUAGGGCACUGGAUACUGGCGAGCUUGAAUGCGGUAGAGGUAAAGGGAAUUCCUGGUGUAGCGGUGAAAUGCGUAGAUAUCAGGAGGAACAUCAGUGGCGAAGGCGACUAUCUGGCACAUAACUGACGCUGAGGAGCGAAAGCGUGGGUAGCAAACAGGAUUAGAUACCCCUGUAGUC